UACGUAGGUGGCGAGCGUUGUCCGGAAUUACUGGGUGUAAAGGGCGUGUAGGCGGGGAUGCAAGUCAGAUGUGAAAUACCGAGGCUUAACUUCGGGGUGCAUCUGAAACUAGUAUUUCUUGAGUGUCGGAGAGGAAAGUGGAAUUCCUAGUGUAGCGGUGAAAUGCGUAGAUAUUAGGAGGAACACCAGUGGCGAAGGCGACUUUCUGGACGAUAACUGACGCUGAGGCGCGAAAGACGUGGGGAGGCAAACAGGAUUAGAUACCCCCGUACGUCCU
rnacentral:rRNA from 1 species